CCCAAAGCACUGGGCAAAAAGAAAAAA
rnacentral:piRNA from 1 species